rnacentral:rRNA from 1 species
AGGGCGUAUGGGGGAUGCCUAGGCUCUUGGAGGCGAUGAAGGACGUGUUAAGCUGCGAUAAGCUUCGGGGAGGUGCACAAGACCUUCGAUCCGAAGAUUUCCGAAUGGGGCAACCCAGUAGAUUGAAGAUCUAUUAUUCUAUUUAUAUAGAAGGCGAACCUGCUGAACUGAAACAUCUAAGUAAGCAGAGGAAGAGAAAACAAAAGUGAUUCCGUAAGUAGUGGCGAGCGAACGCGGAUUAGCCCAAACCAGUGUUGUUGCGGCAAGACUGGGGUUGUAGGACCACGUGAUCGAUUAUAUAAAUGAAUGAGAACUGACUGGGAAGGCGGGCCAUAGAAGGUGAGAGCCCUGUAUCGGUAAGCUUAUAUAAUUGUAGUGGUAUCCUGAGUAGGGGGGGACUGGAGAAAUCCCCUUUGAAUCUGCCGGCACCAUCCGGUAAGGCUAAAUACUACCAAGAGACCGAUAGUGAACGAGUACUGUGAAGGAAAGGUGAAAAGUACCCUGAGUAAGGGGGUGAAAAGACCCUGAAACCAUACGCUUACAAGCGGUCGGAGCCCUUUCGUGGGGUGACGGCGUGCCUUUUGCAUAAUGAGCCUACGAGUUACUUUCACUGGCGAGGUUAAUCACGUUGACGUGAGCAGCCGGAGCGAAAGCGAGUCUGAAUAGGGCGCUUAGUCAGUGGGAGUAGACGCGAAACUUUGUGAUCUACCCAUGAGCAGGUUGAAGCUCCGAUAACACGGAGUGGAGGACCGAACCAGUUUACGUUGAAAAGUAUUUGGAUGACUUGUGGGUAGGGGUGAAAGGCCAAUCAAACUGAGAAAUAGCUCGUACUCCCCGAAAUGUUUUUAGGAACAGCCUCGGGGUUAAGUUUUAAGCAGGUAAAGCUACCGAUAGGACUAGGGGGAGUCAAAUCCUACCAAAUCCUGACGAACUCUGAAUGGCUUAAAAUAUACCCGGGAGUGAGGGUUGGGGUGCUAAGGUCCCAAUCCGAGAGGGAAAGAACCCAGACCAACAGCUAAGGUCCCAAAAUCUUUACUAAGUUGAACUAAGGAAGUCUGAUUGCAGUGACAGCCAGGAUGUUAGCUUGGAAGCAGCUAUUCAUUUAAAGAGUGCGUAACAGCUCACUGGUCGAGCGAGGCGGGCAUCGAUAAUAAACGGGCAUCAAGUAAAGUACCGAAGCUUUGGAUUAUAUUUAUAUACUGGUAGGGGAGCAUUCUGAUCUGCGGAGAAGGUGAAGCGACGAGCUUUGCUGGAGCGUUCAGAAAAGCAAAUGUAGGCAUGAGUAACGAUAAUGAGGGCGAGAAACCCUCACGCCGAAAGACUAAGGUUUCCUCAGCUAUGCUAAUCAACUGAGGGUUAGUCGGGGGCUAAGGGUCUAGCGAAGGCGACAACCUAAUGCACAACAGGUUAAUAUUCCUGUACUUACUUAUUGGGCAAAUAGAUGACGGAGAUUACAGGUUACCAGAUACUGACGGAAUAGUGUCUUUGAGAGGCGGCAGCAAUGCCAAAACGAGUGUAGUGAGUAAACUUCCAAGAAAAGUCUAGGCGUGUAUAACUAAUAAGUAACCCGUACCGUAAACCGACACAGGUGGUCGAGAAGAAUAUUCUAAGGCGCUCGAGUGAAUCACGGCUAAGGAACUCGGCAAAUUAACCCUGUAACUUCGGGAUAAAGGGAGCCACGAGCAAUCGUGGCCGCAGAGAAAUGGCCCAGGCGACUGUUUAACAAAAACACAUGGCUUUGCUAAAUCGAAAGAUGACGUAUAAGGCCUGACACCUGCCCGGUGCUGGAAGGUUAAGGGGGGAUGUUAGCCGCAAGGCGAAGCAUUGAACUGAAGCCCCAGUAAACGGCGGCCGUAACUAUAACGGUCCUAAGGUAGCGAAAUUCCUUGUCGGGUAAGUUCCGACCUGCACGAAUGGUGUAACGAUCUGGGCACUGUCUCAGCCGUGAGCUCGGUGAAAUUGUAGUAACGGUGAAGAUGCCGUUUACCCGCAACGGGACGGAAAGACCCCAUGAACCUUUACUAUAGCUUAGCAUUGAGUUUUGGUACUGGAUGUGUAGGAUAGGUGGGAGGCUGUGAGCCGGUGUCGCUAGGCAUCGGGGAGCCAACGUUGAAAUACCACCCUUCUUGUACUGGAAUUCUAAUCCCCAAAGGGGAGACAUUGCUUGGUGGGUAGUUUGACUGGGGUGGUCGCCUCCAAAAGAGUAACGGAGGCUUUCA